AGGACGAACGCUGGCGGCGUGCUUAACACAUGCAAGUCGAGCGGAAAGGCCCUUCGGGGUACUCGAGCGGCGAACGGGUGAGUAACACGUGGGCAACCUGCCCUUAGCUCUGGGAUAGCUCCGGGAAACCGGAAUUAAUACCGGAUAUGACCUGGGCCGACAUCGGCCGUGGUGGAAAGUUUUUCGGCUAGGGAUGGACUCGCGGCCUAUCAGCUAGUUGGUGGGGUAAUGGCCUACCAAGGCGACGACGGGUAGCCGGCCUGAGAGGGCGACCGGCCACACUGGGACUGAGACACGGCCCAGACUCCUACGGGAGGCAGCAGUGGGGAAUCUUGCGCAAUGGGCGAAAGCCUGACGCAGCGACGCCGCGUGGGGGAUGAAGGCCUUCGGGUUGUAAACCCCUUUCAGCAGGGACGAAGCGAAAGUGACGGUACCUGCAGAAGAAGCGCCGGCUAACUACGCGCCAGCAGCCGC
rnacentral:rRNA from 1 species